UACGGAGGGGNUUAGCGNUGUUCGGAAUUACUGGGCGUAAAGCGCGCGUAGGCGGGCCAGAAAGUUGGGGGUGAAAUCCCGGGGCUCAACCCCGGAACGGCCUCCAAAACUCCUGGUCUUGAGUUCGAGAGAGGUGAGUGGAAUUCCGAGUGUAGAGGUGAAAUUCGUAGAUAUUCGGAGGAACACCAGUGGCGAAGGCGGCUCACUGGCUCGAUACUGACGCUGAGGUGCGAAAGUGUGGGGAGCAAACAGC
rnacentral:rRNA from 1 species